UGGUGACAUGCUUAGGAAACCAUCAUCCUGAUAUUGUCUAACUCUCCUUCUGUUGUCUUUUGGUCCUCUGUGAUUUAGGUUUUCAACACAUAGGGUAAGGGGCCCACGUACAAGCUGUGGGCUCCUGUCCCAGGUGGGCAAGCAGACUGCACACACAGGCAGCAAUUUACCAGGAGGCUUCUUGGGUGGGGUGAAGUGGAGCUGCCAAAAAUUUAUUCCGCCCUAUGAGAGUUCACUUGAUUGAUAGGUGUUGUGUUUCUCAAAAAUAGAAGAAACUCACAGAAGUUUCCUUGGAGCAGAACAUAAAUCUGUCCCAUAAAUGGCUAGAAGGAAUCAUCCUGUCCCCCUGAGGUCAGGAGGGUGAGUCUGUGCCCCAGGGAGGAAAGCACCUUCCUGCUUUAGACACCAGCAGGAGGACAGAGGAGCUGGCCGUCCUGGGAAUUCUUGCCCGCAUUCAGCAAUGGGAAAGUAGUUAGACCAGGGAAGGGGGCCUGGCAGUGUGGCAGGGGGAGCAGUGGUAAAGAGGGUGGGGUCAGGGGAGAGGCCUCAUUCAGAGGGGAGAGGGUCCUUGGUGAGAACCAGGGUGGGUGUGGAGGGAAGAGUCAGGGCGUGGAGCGGAGCAGAGCGGGAGUUGGGGUGGGGAGGCCAGUUCAUGCCUCAUCAACAUGCCUGUGUGAGUGUCCUUCCUGUGGGCUGUGGGGCUGGCCUCAGGGUACACUGCAGGUGACUCAGAGCUCCAGUGGGAGGGUGGCUCUGCCUGAGGGAGCUGCACAUGCUCAUUGGUCUAUCGUCUGCUAGGGAGGGGGCGA